rnacentral:hammerhead_ribozyme from 1 species
AUCCAAUUGACGAGUCGAAAGUCGGACGAAACGCGCAUCCUGGAU